rnacentral:rRNA from 1 species
UACGGAGGGUGCGAGCGUUGUCCGGAAUCACUGGGCGUAAAGGGCGCGUAGGCGGCGCGAGCAGUCGAUCGUGAAAGUCCGGAGCUCAACUCCGGAUCGGCGGUCGAUACUCUCGUGCUUGAGCACUGUAGAGGCAGAUGGAAUUCCGGGUGUAGCGGUGGAAUGCGUAGAGAUCCGGAGGAACGCCGAAAGCGAAGGCAGUCUCCUGGCAAGUUUCUGACGCUCAGGUGCGAAAGCUAGGGGAGCGAACAGG